CACUUACAGCGCAGGUGCAUGUGGUCCAGGAUGGUCUGAAACACACACAUACUGUAGUCAGUGUUAAGAACUAUGUUUCAUCCAUACAUUUACACUUCAUCAAGCGUCUUUUUGAAAAGUAUACUUGCAGAUCGAGCGUCCGGCCGGUUCUCCCGGGCAUCUGCAAACUCCCUGGACACCAGCACCCCAAACUCUGCAUCCUCACUGCAGCCGCCCCACUUCCAGCCCUCGCCCGGGGGUCCUUUGUGAUGGGAGUCACAGCCGCACAUGGUGGAGGUGCCCUCAGCGCAGGACCGUGUCACAGCGAACGCAACCCCGGCUGAAGCGAUGGCAUGGACAAACGCAGACUCUCUCGUGGCUGAAGACAUGUGAGAAGACAAAGAGAAGGAGAGAGAUGCCCCGGAGACCUGCCCCUCCCGCGUCAGCACAUGGGCCCAU